UACGUAGGGGCAAGCGUUGUCCGGAAUCAUUGGCGUAAGCGCGCGUAGGCGGCCCGGUAAGUCCGCUCUGAAAGUCCAGGGCUCAACCCUGGAAAGCGGGUGGAUACUGCCGGCUAGAAUCCGGAAGAGGCGAGUGGAAUUCCUGGUGUAGCGGUGGAAUGCGCAGAUAUCAGGAGGAACACCAAUAGCGAAGGCAGCUCGCUGGGACGGUAUUGACGCUAAGGCGCGAAAGCGUGGGAGCAACAGG
rnacentral:rRNA from 1 species